rnacentral:rRNA from 1 species
CGUACACUCCUACGGGAGGCAGCAGUGGGGAAUAUUGCACAAUGGGCGCAAGCCUGAUGCAGCGACGCCGCGUGGGGGAUGAAGGCCUUCGGGUUGUAAACUCCUUUCGCUAGGGACGAAGCUUUUUUGUGACGGUACCUAGAUAAGAAGCACCGGCUAACUACGUGCCAGCAGCCGCGGUAAUACGUAGGGUGCGAGCGUUGUCCGGAAUUACUGGGCGUAAAGGGCUCGUAGGUGGUUUGUCGCGUCGUCUGUGAAAUUCUGGGGCUUAACUCCGGGCGUGCAGGCGAUACGGGCAUAACUUGAGUGCUGUAGGGGUAACUGGAAUUCCUGGUGUAGCGGUGAAAUGCGCAGAUAUCAGGAGGAACACCGAUGGCGAAGGCAGGUUACUGGGCAGUUACUGACGCUGAGGAGCGAAAGCAUGGGUAGCGAACAGGAUUAGAAACCCCUGUAGUCCC